rnacentral:ncRNA from 1 species
GCAUUGUAUGAAAGAAGAGAAGGUUAGCACUCCCCUUGACAAGGAUGGAAGAGGCCCUUGGUCCUAACAGCAUGCAUACAGUUAAGGCAUCGCCAUCAACUUCAUUUAUAC